rnacentral:ncRNA from 1 species
GGCGCCCAAAGGUUCCCUCAGAAUGGUUGGAAAUCAUUCGCAGAGUGUAAAGGCACAAGGGAGCUUGACUGCGAGACCUACAAGUCGAGCAGGGACGAAAGUCGGGCUUAGUGAUCCGGUGGUUCCGCAUGGAAGGGCCAUCGCUCAACGGAUAAAAGCUACCCCGGGGAUAACAGGCUUAUCUCCCCCAAGAGUCCACAUCGACGGGGAGGUUUGGCACCUCGAUGUCGGCUCAUCGCAUCCUGGGGCUGUAGUCGGUCCCAAGGGUUGGGCUGUUCGCCCAUUAAAGCGGUACGCGAGCUGGGUUCAGAACGUCGUGAGACAGUUCGGUCCCUAUCCGUCGUGGGCGCAGGAAAUUUGAGAGGAGCUGUCCUUAGUACGAGAGGACCGGGAUGGACGCACCGCUGGUGUACCAGUUGUCUUGCCAAAGGCAUCGCUGGGUAGCUAUGUGCGGACGGGAUAAGUGCUGAAAGCAUCUAAGCAUGAAGCCCCCCUCAAGAUGAGAUUUCCCAUAGCGUCAAGCUAGUAAGAUCCCUGAAAGAUGAUCAGGUUGAUAGGUCAGAGGUGGAAGCACGGUGACGUGUGGAGCUGACUGAUACUAAUCGAUCGAGGACUUAACCUA